AGCAGGAUUCAAGCUGGGGAUGACUCUAAACCUGUGCCUAUAACCAUGGCCCUCCUGGGAAGGGAAGCAGAGGGAGGCUGCAGUUCUCCAGCGGCCCCCGCCACACCUCUGUGAGAGCCAUACGGGUGGGCGGCGCGGCCACUCCUUCAGCCCAUCCAGCGCCUGGGCCCUGGCUGGGUUGAUACAUUAUUUCCUUGGAAAGCCGGAAGCUGCUAAGAAUCACUGCAGAACAUGAAACUGAGACUCAGAGAGGUGAAGUGACUUGAAGAACAAGGUGGCCCUGGAGACAAGAAAGAGGAGGAGAAAGAAAUGACCCAGGCCGGGCUGUUCUGGGGACCACCCCCAUCCCAGCUACAGGGGGAGGCUCUUGUACCUAAGAAAUUGUAUCCAUCACUGAGGUCCCCCACCUCCAGCCUUUAUAUGAAAGAAAUAAAGUAAACAUGUUUUUAGGCUGCAA